rnacentral:rRNA from 1 species
AUUGAACGCUGGCGGCAGGCCUAACACAUGCAAGUCGAGCGGAUGAAGGGAGCUUGCUCCUGGAUUCAGCGGCGGACGGGUGAGUAAUGCCUAGGAAUCUGCCUGGUAGUGGGGGAUAACGUCCGGAAACGGGCGCUAAUACCGCAUACGUCCUGAGGGAGAAAGUGGGGGAUCUUCGGACCUCACGCUAUCAGAUGAGCCUAGGUCGGAUUAGCUAGUUGGUGGGGUAAAGGCCUACCAAGGCGACGAUCCGUAACUGGUCUGAGAGGAUGAUCAGUCACACUGGAACUGAGACACGGUCCAGACUCCUACGGGAGACAGCAGUGGGGAAUAUUGGACAAUGGGCGAAAGCCUGAUCCAGCCAUGCCGCGUGUGUGAAGAAGGUCUUCGGAUUGUAUAGCACUUUAAGUUGGGAGGAAGGGCAGUAAGUUAAUACCUUGCUGUUUUGACGUUACCAACAGAAUAAGCACCGGCUAACUUCGUG